GGCGAGCACUCUAGACGAACUGCCGUUGACAAAACGGAGGAAGUGGGGAUGACGUCAAAUCAUCAUGCCCCUUAUGUUCUGGGCUACACACGUGCUACAAUGGCCGGUACAGACGGACGCAAAGCCGCGAGGUGGAGCAAAUCCUAAAAAGCCGGUCUCAGUUCGGAUUGCAGGCUGCAAUUCGCCUGCAUGAAGUCGGAAUCGCUAGUAAUCGCAGGUCAGCAUACUGCGGUGAAUACGUUCCCGGGCCUU
rnacentral:rRNA from 1 species